rnacentral:lncRNA from 1 species
UGGGUCCCUGCGAUAGUCGAUCGCCUUCAAUGUCUGUCGAGCCUCUCCAGCGCUAUCCGAAGUCCAUCGCCGGCUGACCUCCUACCAAGCUCCCCAUAAAAUCGAACUUCCCCGACGGACGAUCUUCAGAUGAGCUUCCACAUUAGAUAAAUCCCAGACGGACUUCUCCGAACAUCGUCAACAAAAUUCUCCAUCUGAGCUCCUACAGCAGGUGACUCCCGCC